rnacentral:rRNA from 1 species
GACACGGCCCAGACUCCUACGGGAGGCAGCAGUGGGGAAUAUUGCGCAAUGGGCGAAAGCCUGACGCAGCGACGCCGCGUGGGGGAUGACGGCCUUCGGGUUGUAAACCUCUUUCAGCAGGGACGAAGUUGACGUGUACCUGCAGAAGAAGCGCCGGCUAACUACGUGCCAGCAGCCGCGGUAAUACGUAGGGCGCAAGCGUUGUCCGGAAUUAUUGGGCGUAAAGAGCUCGUAGGUGGCUUGUCACGUCGGGUGUGAAAGCUUGGGGCUUAACUCCAGGUCUGCAUUCGAUACGGGCUGGCUAGAGGUAGGUAGGGGAGAACGGAAUUCCUGGUGUAGCGGUGAAAUGCGCAGAUAUCAGGAGGAACACCGGUGGCGAAGGCGGUUCUCUGGGCCUUACCUGACGCUGAGGAGCGAAAGCGUGGGGAGCGAACAGGAUUAGAUACCCUGGUAGUCCACGCUGUAAACGUUGGGCGCUAGGUGUGGGGACCUUCCACGGUUUCCGCGCCGUAGCUAACGCAUUAAGCGCCCCGCCUGGGGAGUACGGCCGCAAGGCUAAAACUCAAAGGAAUUGACGGGGGCCCGCACAAGCGGCGGAGCAUGUUGCUUAAUUCGACGCAACGCGAAGAACCUUACCAAGGCUUGACAUUGCCCGGAAACACUCAGAGAUGGGUGCCUCUUCGGAUCGGGUGACAGGUGGUGCAUGGCUGUCGUCAGCUCGUGUCGUGAGAUGUUGGGUUAAGUCCCGCAACGAGCGCAACCCUUGUUCAAUGUUGCCAGCACGCUCCUUCGGGGGUGGUGGGGACUCAUUGGAGACUGCCGGGGUCAACUCGGAGGAAGGUGGGGAUGACGUCAAGUCAUCAUGCCCCUUAUGUCUUGGGCUGCAAACAUGCUACAAUGGCCGGUACAGAGGGCUGCGAUACCGCAAGGUGGAGCGAAUCCCUAAAAGCCGGUCUCAGUUCGGAUUGGGGUCUGCAACUCGACCCCAUGAAGUCGGAGUCGCUAGUAAUCGCAGAUCAGCAACGCUGCGGUGAAUACGUUCCCGGGCCUUGUACACACCGCCCGUCACGUCACGAAAGUCGGCAACACCCGAAGCCCGUGGCCCAACCAGCUUGCUGGGGGGAGCGGUCGAAGGUGGGGCUGGCGAUUGGGACGAAGUCGGAACAAGGUAGCCGUACCGGAAGGUGCGGCUG